AAAGGUGCCCGUCCAUAUUAGAUCCCACCACAAGUUCUUGGAGAAUUGAUGAGACGUUGGGACACUGAUGCCUAUAGACAAUUAUAGGCGAGAAAUAUAGCUGCCAAGGAAAUCGAUUCGAGGUACCUCUCUUCACACUGCAGGAGGCACCACCUUUCCAGAAGUGAGGUUACGCUUGAAUCAUUCACUUGGAAGACCAUCAUGUAUGGAUGAGUUUUUUUAGCACACUCAUACUCGCAAAGAGGAUAGGACUCAAUGGGUUGAUGAACACUCUCGAAAGACAAAGGAUAUAUUUCAAGAGCGUAUGUUUCAAGCUGAGCAAGAGCGGUAGGCUGCUAUAGAGGCUGGUGUAACUGAUCUACCACCUAUCUCUGAGGAAAGCAUAUGGAUUGAGACAGUGGGUGAAAAACGAAAAGGUAGGGUAUAUGGCAUGGGUGAGGUAAGGGAUUUUUCCAUGGUACGACCUCGAGUUGAUGGGCCAACCACGACCACCAGCACUGAUGUUUUGGAUCUUAGAGAACGAGUCACAAUACUCAAUAGGAAAGUUGAACAACAUGCCGCUAAAUAUA